rnacentral:rRNA from 1 species
AACGAACGCUGGCGGCAGGCCUAACACAUGCAAGUCGAACGAACCCUUCGGGGUUAGUGGCGGACGGGUGAGUAACACGUGGGAACGUGCCUUUAGGUUCGGAAUAACUCAGGGAAACUUGUGCUAAUACCGAAUGUGCCCUUCGGGGGAAAGAUUUAUCGCCUUUAGAGCGGCCCGCGUCUGAUUAGCUAGUUGGUGAGGUAAAGGCUCACCAAGGCUACGAUCAGUAGCUGGUCUGCAAGGAUGACCAGCCACAUUGGGACUGAGACACUGCACAAACUCCUACGGGAGGCAGCAGUGGGGAAUCUUGCGCAAUGGGCGAAAGCCUGACGCAGCCAUGCCGCGUGGCUGAUGAAGGUCUUAGGAUUGUAAAAUCCUUUCACCGGUGAAGAUAAUGACUGUAGCCGGAGAAGAAGCCCCGGCUAACUCCGUGCCAGCAGCCGCCGUAACAC